AAUCUGCGAUGAUUGUAGUGUUCAUGCUGAUUCUAAUAAAAUCAGGCUUAGACGACUAGUGCCACAGAGACGAGAAUUGUGAAACGCGGUAAACUUCCAUGAGCU
rnacentral:RNase_P_RNA from 1 species